UUGAAUGAUGAUACUUGCACUGGGCUCUGAGCAGUUUUAACUACACUAUUGAUGGAAAUGUGCUGCCUAGAAAGCUGUAUCUGACAU